UACGGGGGGUGCAAGCGUUAAUCGGAAUUACUGGGCGUAAAGGGUGCGUAGGUGGUUGAUUAAGUUAUCUGUGAAAUCCCUGGGCUUAACCUGGGCAGGUCAGAUAAGACUGGUUGACUCGAGUAUGGGAGAGGGUAGUGGAAUUUCCGGUGUAGCGGUGAAAUGCGUAGAGAUCGGAAGGAACACCAGUGGCGAAGGCGGCUACCUGGCCCAAUACUGACACUGAGGCACGAAAGCGUGGGGAGCAAACAGG
rnacentral:rRNA from 1 species